CGGGGGAGGCCAGAUCCUGGGCUGUGUCCCCGGCCCCCUGUGCUCCGGGGCCUGCGCUGUUGGAUUUGGCUCCCAGACCGCAGCCCCCU
rfam:Canis lupus familiaris chromosome 17, whole genome shotgun sequence.